AUUGAACGCUGGCGGCAGGCCUAACACAUGCAAGUCGAACGGUAACAGGAAGAAGCUUGCUUCUUUGCUGACGAGUGGCGGACGGGUGAGUAAUGUCUGGGAAACUGCCUGAUGGAGGGGGAUAACUACUGGAAACGGUAGCUAAUACCGCAUAACGUCGCAAGACCAAAGAGGGGGACCUUCGUGCCUCUUGCCAUCGGAUGUGCCCAGAUGGGAUUAGCUAGUAGGUGGGGUAACGGCUCACCUAGGCGACGAUCCCUAGCUGGUCUGAGAGGAUGACCAGCCACACGGGAACUGAGACACGGUCCAGGCUCCUACGGGAGGCAGCAGUGGGGAAUAUUGCACAAUGGGCGCAAGCCUGAUGCAGCCAUGCCGCGUGUAUGAAGAAGGCCUUCGGGUUGUAAAGUACUUUCAGCGGGGAGGAAGGGAGUAAAGUUAAUACCUUUGCUCAUUGACGUUACCCGCAGAAGAAGCACCGGCUAACUCCGUG
rnacentral:rRNA from 1 species